AUUAGGCCAUGGCCAGAGAAAAUUCAGGGUAGAUCUGCAAACUCUAACAUUUUAACUGUGAAUAGAACAAGGUAAAUCUCUGUAGAGAACCCCUCAAGAUAAGUUCCCUAAGUUCUGCAAGGCUUUCAAAUGUUGUUUGCAACUUUAGAACUACAAUAAAUCUGUAAUAAUUCACCUCAGCAGCCUCACUCAGAAGCUUUUGAUCCAAGUAGCUUGCCAGCUUUCUUAAACAUGCUUUACUGUAUAUAGACACUUCAGCUUUUUGUGUAUUUCUGUGUCUUUGCCCAUAUGAGCCACUCCUUAAAAUGGUCUGUUUCCCUGGCACUGGAAAUGAAACUGGAACAGCUUGUCCUGGCAACUGUUGCUACUCUACAGUAAUUGGAUGUAUUACAAAUAAAAACAACAACAAAACAAUUGUUUUUCCUCAUUUGUUCCCAGUAGAAAUCAGUUAGUCACAGCCUUUAUUUAGCACAUACGACAUUUACCUAAGCAAAGGCAACUGGUGAGCCAGUUCUGUGUAACAGGCCUGGGGAGCACAGAUCUUACUCAUGCUGCAGACUUUGUUCUGUUGUCCUGCUUGUCACCAAGGGUUAGUCAUUAUUCAGGAUGUUUCUGGUAGCAGGACAAACUGCUACGAGAUCAUUAUUGCCAUGAAUGUGAAAGGAAUUGGACGGAGAAAUCACUGUUGGGAGUACCUUCCAGCAACACCCCGUGGGCUUCAUGUCAGGAGCACAUCCUCAGCACAAAUUGUCACCUUCAGUGCUUCUUCUCUGCAGUUGCAACAGUAUUGUAUGGCUCAGCUCUGCUGGUAAUUCUGUUAAAGAUGCUGGUGAUAAACAAGAGAUAAUUCAUGAAAGCACGGAGAGAGGAGCUGUCACUGAGAUCCUGCUGCCUCGAGACCAGGGAACCCACAUUUCUCCCUGCUUGACUAGCACAAGGGCAGGCCUGUAUACAGAACAGGAGACACUUCUUGGGAGAAGCUGACAGCUUGGGCAUAAUGGGAAGGUCAAAAUGCCUGCUGACUACCUCUGGGAGAAAGAAAAAUGGAGAAACCAGAGAAAAUAGGUGGCUUCUCAGAGAAGCAUUUUCCAGGCCCUGCUAUAAUUCCUAGAGGGAGAGAGGUGAGCUGCAGAGGAUGGCAGCAUGUGAUGGCUCCACUGCCCUCCUGCAUUGGGGAUUGACUGCCAGGUCAGCACAGGGUGCAGGGAAGGCAGCUUGCUGGUGGCACUGCUUAGCAGAUGCAGGACCAUUCUCCCCACAGGUUUAUUGCCUCUGAACAGAGGUCCCAGCCAAGCAGAAGGGAUGUGCAGUGCCCAAUGCCUUGAAGCAAUCUGAUGCCAGCUGCUUGAGCUGGAGCUGUAUUGUCCUAUGCUUCCACUUUGGCUCUUACUGAAAGAGAUUGCAGCAGGACAGAAACUCACUUCACUUUGUUCUACAUUUGAUUUCCUCUCUCUGACCAUUUCUUCUUUCCUCAUCUUCUCCCUGCCUCUCUUAUAUCAUUCCUGUCCCAUGCUGAGUGACUGUUACCUAUCACUAUGUGUCAUCAUACAGACAUUAGACACCAUUUGGACACCUUGGCAAUGUCUUCAUCACUGAGGUUGCCUUGAACUCCUGAGAUCUUUCACUUGCUAAUGAAAAGUUUGAACAUCUUACAAUAAUUUUGAAUUGUAUAACAGUACUAAAUACUUCACCCGAACUUAGCACCUUCAUUGGAUGUUCUCUGACUGUUUUCAGUGGGGAUAGCAGGAUUUCUCUAAUUUCUGCUCUCCCUAAUACACUGCUGAACUGAGGCAAAACCACGCAAUUUGUUAAUUCCAUGAAGCAAUUCAUCCAAGAUUGCACUGGAUUUCAGAACCUGUGUCACCUAUCAAGUUGCAAUAAGAAAAUAGUGCUACAAAGUGGCAUUAUCAUCUCUCUUCUUUCAAAAUAGUCUAAGGAAAAGUGUGUAAAUGUUUGACUUUCACAUGAAUUGCAUGGUCCUGAGGUAAUCAGAAUAGGAGAAAAGCCACCCUUCUGAAAGGGAAAAAGUCUGCACGCACUCACAUCCACCAGCACAAACUUGUCUUACCUCUUCAGUACCACUGAAGCAUGAUGCCACCGAAGCCUCGUGCCAAGAAACAUCCCCAGGAUAAGGCUGCUUACAAGUCUCCCAUUCAUGAAGUUCUCUAAAUAUUCGCUGUCAUGUGCUAUAUUUCAAAGGCAUAACAGUAAGAAAAUGUGUGCUAUUUUACAAGGGUGAGCUAAAUGCAUUUCUUCUGCCCUGUGCUUGAGAUGAAAAGAAACCAGGCAAUUAAAUAAGGAAGUCUGGGGCCCUUUUUAUGGCAUUGUAUGUGACCGCAAAAGGGAAAAUGGUAAUUUCCACUGGUGUGUGAUAUCCUUUAGCAACCUGGCUCAGAAAAUAUCUCUAUCUCUGCAUCCUAGAAUGCUGGUGUUUUAAAAACCCUGCAGGCACAUCAGUCUUCAAUAAGAGAGCUCACCCCAUUAAAGCAUUUAAAAUUAAUUUUAAUCCAGGGAAUUCAACUCCUGUCUUUAAACCUUUACAAACAAGUUUAAAGCUGACAUGUGCCAUAAAUUCGUGGUGGCCUCUAGAGGUUUUUUUAUAAGCUGAAUAAAGCAUAACAAUUACAUAGGGAAUUCAGCAAAGCCCAGUUGGUGUGUAUAGAUAAUACACUUAGAGAAGAGUUCUUUCUGCUUUUUAUAACAGCUACUGUAUGUAUAAAGUCUACAAGAAAAUGUCACUGUGAUAACAGCUAUCCUUUAAGUCAGGCAUGUUAUAAUGAGAAGACAGUGCUGCUCCUUUGUCUAUGUGACAAUAAAAGAGCAAAGUAGAUAUCCUGUCCCAUAGCCUCAACAUUGUAAUACAGGUACAGUUUGCCAUUACAUCACGAUGAUGAAAAUUUUCCUGUUCUGCUGCAAAACACGGGAAAUUCUGUUGUUUGACUUCAUGUGCUUCUUCCUUCUGAAGUGUUCAAACAAAUGCACAUUCAUUGCUUUAAGAUGAAAAAGCACUGAAUUUCAGCUCUUGCCCAUUUCACUCCACCAUCACGAGAUAUUGUACUGACAGGGGCUAAUAUGCAGCCAGUACCUAACUGACCGGGGUUUGGCUUCUGGACUGCUCCAAUUUUCUCCCUAUUGGGCCUCAUGUAGUAAAGCAAUGCUGACUCCCACCUCUUCUUUUUCAAGGACUCUGACCUUCACCUGCUGUGCUUCAAGCAAGCACUAAGUGCUUUCAGUGCUGCUAUUUUUCUGCACAGGACACUGCACUGGUGCUGAAGCUCUUCCCUGGAGCUGGCACACUGGCACUGCUGCUCACUGAGCUGCCCCUGACCCUGCUGCGUUGCUGUGCCCUGCUGCAAUCCCAAAGGCAGCCACUCCAUUGCACCAAGAAGUCUCAGGCUGAAGCACCAGCUGCCUGUGGGAUGUGUUUGCCAUCCCAUCAGGUUUGCUGAUCCAACCCUCUUCAGGGUUACACCUCAGACCUGAAAAGGGAAAAGAUCCAAGCUAAUAGCCCCCACCAGUCUCACCCUAACAGUAGCGAUGGUUUUUUUUUAAAUGGGAACACUUCUUCAAUCCUACAAAUGAGCAGCUGAGAUGAAAGAAGAUGGGAAUGUCUUAAACCUGCUUCCCUGGAGAAAUCUUAAGUGAACCCUUAUGUUCAUUUAUUUUCUGUUGGUAUUUACGUGCUGACUCCAGUCAUAAUUAAACUGCAAGUUCCUUAGGGCAGAGACUAGCCUUUUGUUUGGUGUUAAUUAGCAGUUUAUGCAACAAGGCCUCUGUGACUUGACUUCUGAGUGACACAAAAAUCAAUGUGUUAUGUUUUUCAGGUUUGGGGGAGGCUCUGGCAGUGUUCACACAGAGAAGAUUGACAUUUGGUUGAGGAUCAUAAUGUAUGCACAUUAGUGGAAUGCUUCUGCUAAAAUGAUAAACAGUUAUGAUUCAUUUGAUGUUAAGACUUGAAUGAUCAUAUUAGGAUUUUGAGGUAGUAGUCUGCUGUGAUCUAGUCACCCUCAUCUCUCCAGGCUUUAUUUCAGACUGCCUGCACAGUCACUAAAGGAACAAUGCAUGGAUGUACUCCCAAUUCAUAUUUUCAGUGUUUUCUGGAGUGGUUAGGGUUGAAAACAUAUUUAUUUUCCUAUGUUAAGACUUGGAUUCCUGGGGGAUUCCAAUGGGCUGCUAACUGUGUAAUGGUUGCCAGGAGUUGCUACUGACCAAGUGUCUACACUCUUCUGGCUCUGGUCUCCAGGUCAGUUAGAAAACAGUAAAUAUUUUCCAAAGAAUUUUAAGGAGCUAUAAAAACUUCUCUGAGAGGAAAAAUAAAUAAAAUAAAAUAUAUUUCAAAUUUUCUGUGCAAUGCUAAAAGUGUUUGAUUCUGAACAAAAUAUUCAGUUUCAGAUGUUUGACUGGUCCCUAAAAAAUGUGAAAGAAGGAAAUAUGCUAUGUGAAAGUUUCUUUUUUGAAGCCAGUUUUCUCAUUUAAACUUUUAAAUCAUCUGUAUUUGUGACAAAUAGAACACACAUGGGGAUUUAAGAUAUUGUUUGUGUAAUAUGUCAGAGAAAGAAAUUUUGAGCUUUUUCCAAGCAUCAGAGAAAGGUUAGGAGUCUCAAACUGUUACCAGUCUUAUUAAUCACCCUGGAUUUUUAAGUAUAUAUUUCUAACCAUGCUAAACAAUUAAAUCAAAGUUAAGGCCAAAGUUUGCCUGUGAACCUGCAUAUGCAAUAUCCAUUUAAGUCAAUGUGAGGACAAAAUUUAGCUCAAGCUUUUUAACUGAUAAAGUCCUAAAAUAGCUUUACAGGCAAGAAUUUCCUGGCAAGGCUAGAGUUUUGUAAAUCUAAAAGCAUGCAAUCAUAUUUCAGUGUAAAAUAGCAUAUAAAUAUCAAGCCACAUCUUGAAUUGUAGCCAAAUGCAACACUACAUCAAGCACAGCUCAGAAGUGCCAUAUAUAAAAUUAAUGCUUUGUCAAGUUUCUGCAUCGGUGUGUAAUAAACACAGAAAUUUGCACAUACAUACUUAUAAUUGUAAAAAAUUGGAAGGUGCAGUUGUCCUCUUUGUGUCAGUUAUAAGCUUUUUUUGCUAAAAGGAAUGUAACAUUUAGCUUUUAAAGCCAGAACAGGAUGUAAGUGGACCGUAUUUCAAGGAGAGUGUUAUGUCUAAGGCUUACUGCCACUGUGUAGUGCUACAUCCUUCACGGGCUCCUGCAGCACAGCCAGUGGCUUUCUAAGAGUCAAGUAAAGUACUUAUGACUUGAAGUACCACAAAAGUUUUUAUAAAAACCUUUCAUGCCUGCCUGUCCUCCUCCCACUCCCAAUCUGCAUUAAUCUCAAAACCCAGGGAGAAAAUUGAACGUCAGAAAGUCAUAAUACAAUUAAUUUUUCUCAGAAACCUUUCAGUUCCUGUUUGGUUAUUACACUCCACCUAUGCAUAUCCAUCCUAAUUUAACAUUGUGUUCACUAUAACUUCUCAUUUCCUCUCCCAAACCUGAAGUUCAGUGCCAUGCAUUGCUGGAGCUCCAUCCUGGAGGAGAAGUUACAGGAUUUGCAGAUGAGGGCUUAGGGACUGAUGCAAUGGACAAAGCAAAAGUUGAGUUGGGAAGUAACACUGAGGAUGAUGUUAUCAUAAUGAUGCUUUGGACUGGCUACCUAGAAUAGGGCCUAGACAGAAUUAAGAUAAUAAAGUGAGUACUUAUUAAAAGCCUUCAAUAGAUACACCUUGGGCAGUCAAAAGCCUUCCUGAGGCUACAUCCAAGAUAGACAAUGGUCACAAUUUUUCAGACAGGUAUGUUUGGUCUUUUUGCAUAUCAGGGGCUAAUCCUCCAAUUACAGCUUCAGGUAGUAUUCCCCCAGUUUGCUUUCACAGACCUGAUACACUUUUGUUUAUACUCAGGCCUGAGGCAGAUGGUGUCCUUGCUUCUCAGGCCUGGCAGAGUUGCUUUGUCUGACCAAAAUGUCAAGAGAGCUUACUAACACUCUAUGUGGAGUUCAGUGUUAUACACUAAUGCAGUACAGGGUCUGAAAAAUAAAAAACUUAAGGCAUCAGUAGUGAUAAGUCAAAAUCAUCUCAGCAGAAACACUGUGUACAGAUGUCAGUGCCUGUUGCUGAGGCCAGAGAAGAAGACUUUGAGGCAACCAGGAUAAAAGCCCAGACUACUGCUUUGUCUGUAAAAAUGGAAAACAGAAGGCAAAAGACCAAAUAGGAAUGAGCUCUGAGGCCAAAGAGAGAGAUGAUAGUAGAGUGCCCACAGAUAAAUGAGCUUUCUUUCCUUGUCUCAUAUGUGUUCAUGUUGGGAGCUUGCAUGUGAUACCACUGAAAAAAUAUUUUUUUCCACAAUUUAGCAGUUAAAAGUCCCAGAGAGAGAAUACUAUGACAAGAAACAUGAGUGGGACCUUUCUGAGCUGUAACUAACAAGGAAAGAGAGGCAUAAGUGACGAGCUAAUUUCAGCUCUGAUGCUCAGUGAGCUUCUUCAGCUUGAGCCCACCCAUCAGUUGGGUGCUGAAGUCCCUCAGAGUACAGCCUAAACUUCUCAGACAAUUCAAAGUUAGUGCCAGCUACCCAGAACCAACUGAGCAGUGCCUCCAGGGUGGCUUAUUGUCUUCCAUGGAGCAGCUGCAGACAGCAGUAAGACAUGUCCCUUGCCUCCUUUGCCAUCCACAUGGAUGAGCAAACACAGUCCUUGGAAGCAGCAGGGCAGGGGGCUGAGUCUAAUCACAUCAGCUGUCCUCAGCCAGGCCAUCCCCACUCGUAAAUCAGAACCCACAAUGCUGCCUGUGGGGAAACAGCAGCUUUUUGCUUCCAUUCUUUUUACUGAAACAGGACUUCUUGUGAACUCACUUUGCAGAUUAAUACCUUCUUAGAAGAAGGCCCUUGUAUGCUGGGCCAAGUUCUUACUCUAGACACAACAGUUCUCAAGACACCAACUGCUAUCCUUUCCAUCAAAUGUAGGAAAAGAAAAUAAUAAAUUCCCAUAAUUCUUGCUGUUUCUUUCUAAAAGCAAUAGUACGAAAACACUGUUCUUCAGUGUUCUUCAGGACUUACAGCAGAUUUUGAUUUGUGGAUGUCUCAGCUCACUCUCUCUCAGAGGAGAGAGUUUUUUGCAUUCCCACUUUUGUAAAACAAAAUGCACUGCUGAACUGAGAGGCUUAAAACAUACAAAAUAAUACUGAUUUUUUUCUAUAUUUUCUCCUUGAAGAAGUAUUAUCUUCUGCAAGAAGCUUCUAGCAAAUAUGCUGGUCACAGUUGCAUUCCAUCUUCUGUACCUCCUCAUCUAUUCUAGCAUUCAAUGUUCAGAAGACUUAAAUUCCUCAAACAAAUAGAAUUAAUUUUAUGGAAAAGCAGAAAGUUCAUCUGUAUUGAUUAGUAAGUCAGUUAAAUUGGAAAUUCUCCUGCCAACUGACCUCAUUUUAAAUCCAAGGCAUGGAGGUUUUGCUUCAUCUUUCACCACUGUUUAUUUAAGAAUGGCUUAUUCUGUCAGUCCCACUGAGGCCUUCUUGUCUAACUUCAGUGAAAGUGAGGGAAAAAACCCACAGGCUUACUGAGUCUGAAGGCUUGUGCAAACAAUACAACCCUAGAUGAGGAUUCAUGUGAUUUAUAACUAUACACUGAUAAAUGUGUACACACACACAGAGAAAUACGCACAGCAAGCUUUUAAAAAGGGCUGCGGUAAAGUUGCAUUUCAGUAAAGUCCAGGUUAAAAAGCCUGACUUAAUAAAACUUGUGUUGAUAAUGUUCAGCUUUAGUAUUUUCAUUAUUAUACAUCUUUUGAAAAGAAUUUUCAGAAGGUCUGAUAAUUAAAGAUGCUACAGAGCCCCUGCAUGCAGGCCCCAGACCAACUCAUGCAUCUCUCCCGUGUAUGACUUGGGACAUUUGUAGGUUUGUCACUGUUAUGUAGACAUCUUCAUACAGCUACUGAUAUCCUUUACUGUUUGAAAACCAUGCAAAUGUUUCUGACAAGGACACUUUCUGGUGGCAUGCUCAUUUAUGGCCUUCUCUCACUGUUCUUUAGGAAUCUAGCUUGAUCAAUCUGUUGGCUCUGAUUGCAAGGCUGGUUUGAGAGUUCUUCUUUUCCCCACAUUUGGCUGCUCACCACUAUUGCUGAACAGCAGGUCACUGCCCCCUCAGCAGUGCUGUAGCAACAGUUACAUCACUGAAAUAACCUAAGAGCUAUUUCAGGCAACUUUAUGUAUUAGUGGUUUUCUUUUGUUGUUGUUUUAGGUUUUUAAACCCAGUUUGGUGGCUGGCUCACCUCCAUAGAAUUUAACCAGCACAGCUGAGGAAGUGAUCGAUUAGAGCCAUGGGGCAAGACUAAGCAGCAAAUGCAGGAACCUCUUAAAUCAGCUGCCACCUGGAAAGAGUUCCUAUAGCUACAUCACUGUGUGAUGUGCUGGGGGAGUAGAAGAGUAUUUUUAUGAAUAUAACUACGGUGAUUCAUGUGUUUGGUGUUCUGGAAUGUGUUGAGCAUAUGGUAUUGCAGGCUUUAUGUAAGUGACCUUGCAAAUUUGUAUUUUUAAAUCUAUUAUGGAGCAACUAAUGAAUAGGUUCUUAUUUCUCCUUCCUACUGGGAUAAAUACUGAACUUCUGGUAAGCAUACUCUUUGGGGCAGAACCCACAACUAUUCCUGUAGGACUAGCAUUUCUUCCAUCCCAAUGGAGAGAGGACUUCUCCACAACAUCUCCUGGGAGAUUUUUGCUCAUAGCAUAUGUUAUCUUGUUUUUGUUUCUUUUUCUUUUUUUUUUUUCUUCCUCGUGGGAAGAAAUUAUGUGAGCCAUGUUGGCAAUGAAGAGAUAUACUGUACACAAAGUCUUAACAUUUUCUAACAGCACAAAUAAACUAGGAAUCAUCCUCCUGUUCUUGUUCCUUGACAGAUGUAAGACUAAUGAUACCAGUGAGUGACAGGCUACCAGAAAGCAUUACUGACCCCAAAAAGUCCCUCAUUCUUGGUGCUGUGCUAGUGGAUAUCUCCACUGUGGGCUUCUGGCUUGGCCUCCUGAGGGCGACGUGAUGAAGAAAAGAACUUGGUCUGGAUUUAUCACUUAGCUUGUUGACCACCUCAACAAAGCCCUCACACCCAGGCCACAGUUUUGUCUUGGGUUGAAAAAUAUAACCAAAAAUGUGUAUUCUAUUUUCAUCUGUUGAAACCAGUUGGGAGAUAUUGUUCCUUAUCUCUUGUAACUCUGGGGGGGAAGGAGGGUGGAUGCCUUCUGUUAAUGGGACACCUGAUAACACCAGAUAAGGCAGUGCCUUCUUAUAUCUUCCUGCACCCAUCCUCCUCUGAGGGACAUCACCUGUGAAUGGGCCAUUUAAGGCCUCUCACAUGACUGAUAACAGCACCUCAUUCCAUUGUGAGAUGCUCCACCCAGUGGGAGGAGCCAAAGCCUUUCCACAGGGAUGAAACCUGCAAUCCCAAACACUAAUUCAGCUGGCUUUCCACUGAAUUCUUGGAGGAAGACCGGACCCGUCUCGCCAGCACUGGACCCUUUUUUUCUACAGGAUCAUCUCUACUUCACAGAACAACAUCUGUUACUCCAGGAGGACUUAUUUGGACUGCUUCCAACACCCUGGACAACAGGGUCAUAUCUCUGACUCUGUCAGGGUUUUCUAGGACUUUUGUUUGUUUGUUUUUUUGUACUACUGCAUUUGUAUUUUUUAAUAUUCCUAGUAAACAACUGUUAUUCUUAUUCCCAUAUUUUUGCCUGAAAGCUUCUAAUUGCAAAAUUGUAAUAAUUUGGAGGGAGGGGGCUUUUCCAUUCUCCAUUUCAAGGGAAAUUCCAGUUUUCCCUGACAGAUACCUGUUUUUCUAAAUCAAGAUAAGUUUUUAUCCAAUAAAAGUGCUGACACCAAAGGGCCAUCUUAAUCUUUCUUCUGAGUUUUAGUUUAGCAGCAGUUACCCAGUGGUACAAAGCACGGGGACCAUAAAUGUGCUAAUGCUAAUGACAUAUUGUAGGCAAAUGCAUUUCCUUUGUACUGCACUGCACUUCACUUCCUUGACUAGGUGCUUAAUGAUUAUGUACUGUGCUUAACUGGCUUAUAAACAAUGUCCUAAAAGUGUGAUGACUGUAUUUUUUGAUCACAAAUGGUUAAUUCUAGAUAUUACAUCAAAUGGUGUUGAAGUAUUUUAAGUGAAAGGCCUCAAUUAGCACUUUGUGGAGUUCUGGUCUGGCUUUGGUGACACAUCCUGUCUGCAGGGCCUCAGAUGCAGAAAUUGAUCAGAAUGGCUCUUUCAAUCUAAUUAUUCCUCCGAGCCAUUCUUCAGGCACUCAUUCAAAAUGUAAAUGAGCAUAUUCCAGAAUAAUUACUCCACUCACAAAGCAGGGUAAACAUCCCAAAAUGAAAUAACUUCUGUUCCAAAUCAGACAGUCUUCAUAGAGGAGUCAUUUGGUAAUAUAGGAAUAGCAAGGAAGUAUAUAGAGUGUGUGAAGAUUUUGAUUACUCAUAUAAUUCUGCUGUCAGUAAUUUCCCUAAAAGUCAUAGAUUUCUACAUUCAUAAAGCCAUUUAGAGUGUGUGAGUUUGCAGCAAGCACAUCUACAAAGCUAGACGGUUAUGUCAGAUAUAUUUGUACCAAGUAAAAUAUAGAGUUCCCAGUUUGCAUAUUUACUAUGGAGAUAAGGAUUUUUUAAUAGUUUGCGUACAGCACAUCCAAUGUAAUGAACUAGUUACUUGCUUGAAUGAUAAAUAGACUAAGGCCCCAUUUAACUGAACGUUUAUUUUUGUGGUAGAGUAUGUUCACGUCAUA